UGGGGAAUCUUGCGCAAUGGGGGAAACCCUGACGCAGCAACGCCGCGUGGGUGAUGAAGGCCUUCGGGUCGUAAAGCCCUGUCAGGUGGGAAGAAACUUGUGGAUGUUAAUACCAUCCAUGCUUGACGGUACCACCGGAGGAAGCACCGGCUAACUCCGUGCCAGCAGCCGCGGUAAUACGGAGGGUGCAAGCGUUGUUCGGAAUUAUUGGGCGUAAAGCGCGUGUAGGUGGUCGUGUAAGUCAGAUGUGAAAGUCUUCUGCUUAACAGAAGAAGGGCAUUUGAAACUGCUCGACUAGAGUACGGGAGAGGAGAGUGGAAUUCCCGGUGUAGAGGUGAAAUUCGUAGAUAUCGGGAGGAACACCAGUGGCGAAGGCGGCUCUCUGGUCCGAUACUGACACUGAGACGCGAAAGCGUGGGGAGCAAACAGGAUUAGAUACCCUGGUAGUCUACGCCGUAAACGAUGGGCACUAGGUGUAGGAGGUAUUGACCCCUCCUGUGCCGAAGCUAACGCAUUAAGUGCCCCGCCUGGGGAGUACGGCCGCAAGGCUA
rnacentral:rRNA from 1 species